GAUGAACGCUGGCGGCGUGCUUAACACAUGCAAGUCGAACGAAGCGCUUUAAUUGAUUUCCUCGGAAUGAAGUUUUUGUGACUGAGUGGCGGACGGGUGAGUAACGCGUGGGUAACCUGCCUCAUACAGGGGGAUAACAGUUGGAAACGACUGCUAAUACCGCAUAAGCGCACAGGAUUGCAUGAUCCAGUGUGAAAAACUCCGGUGGUAUGAGAUGGACCCGCGUCUGAUUAGCCAGUUGGCGGGGUAACGGCCCACCAAAGCGACGAUCAGUAGCCGACCUGAGAGGGUGACCGGCCACAUUGGGACUGAGACACGGCCCAAACUCCUACGGGAGGCAGCAGUGGGGAAUAUUGCACAAUGGGGGGAACCCUGAUGCAGCGACGCCGCGUGAGCGAAGAAGUAUUUCGGUAUGUAAAGCUCUAUCAGCAGGGAAGAAGAAUGACGGUACCUGACUAAGAAGCACCGGCUAAAUACGUGCCAGCAGCCGCGGUAAUACGUAUGGUGCAAGCGUUAUCCGGAUUUACUGGGUGUAAAGGGAGCGCAGGCGGUACGGCAAGUCUGAUGUGAAAUCCCGGGGCUCAACCCCGGUACUGCAUUGGAAACUGUCGGACUAGAGUGUCGGAGGGGUAAGUGGAAUUCCUAGUGUAGCGGUGAAAUGCGUAGAUAUUAGGAGGAACACCAGUGGCGAAGGCGGCUUACUGGACGAUUACUGACGCUGAGGCUCGAAAGCGUGGGGAGCAAACAGGAUUAGAUACCCUGGUAGUCCACGCCGUAAAC
rnacentral:rRNA from 1 species